GAUCCCGGACCACAAGGUCAUCCAGAUCAAGUAGCCUAUAUCCUCACUUGGGAGGAUCUCAUUCGGAAUCCUCCGGCAUGGAUGAAACACUUCCUCCCUUCCUGCCCCCUAUCUCAGUCUACCCUCCUUCCCCUGAAAACCUCCAAAAACCGAGCCUCAACCCAAACUCCAGAUCCGCCCAAACCGGUUUUUCCCGAUGAGUCCCAAAGGGACCCCCUCCUCCUAGACGCUUUGUCUUCGCCGCCCCACGCCCCCGAAGAGACUUCACCGCCCCACAACCCCCUCUUACUGCCUCCACCCUAUAAUCCGCCCCUGGCCCCCGCCUUGACCCCGGUGGCCCCUACUUCCCCUCCUGCCUCCAGUUCCUCCUCCCCCUCCCCAAUUUCUUCCCCCGCCUCCGUCUCCGGCGAUCAGACGACCCGAACGGCCCUCCCACUUGGCAAUCUUCCCUGUUUCCUCUCCGGACUGUCAACCGGACUAUCCAGUAUUGGCCAUUUUCUGCAUCUGAUCUUUACAACUGGAAAACUCAUAACCCUUCCUUUUCCCAAGAACCCCAGGCCCUAACCUCACUGAUAGAAUCUAUCCUCCUCACACACCAGCCCACCUGGGACGACUGCCAGCAGCUCCUACAGGUCCUUUUGACUACAGAGGAAAGGCAACAAGUUCUCCUGGAGGCUUUCCAACCCAGCUCCCCAACGAAAUAGAUGAGGGGUUUCCCCUCACCCGCCCGGACUGGGACUAUGAAACGGCUCCAGGUAGGAGACUCCGUGUACGUCCGGCGGCACCGCUCUCAAGGAUUGGAGCCUCGUUGGAAGGGACCUUACAUCGUCCUGCUGACCACGCCCACCGCCAUAAAGGUUGACGGGAUUGCCGCCUGGAUUCACGCAUCGCACGCCAAAGCAGCCCCAAAAACCCCUGGACCAGAAACUCCCAAAACCUGGAAGCUCCACCGUUCGGAGAACCCUCUUAAGAUAAGACUCUCCCGUGUCUGACUGCUAAUCCACCCUGUCCCUGCACGAACCCAAAAUGAAACCCCCAGCGGGAAUGGUCUUUCUGUGGGUCCUCACAAGCUUGGGGGCGGGAAUUGGAGCUAAAAUUGUCAAAGAGGGAAACCCACAUCAGGUUUACACCUUGACUUGACCUGUUGAUCUUACAAGAAGGCGGGUUAUGUGCUGCCCUCAAAGAAGAGUGCUGCUUCUAUGCUGAUCACACAGGGAUAAUAAGGGAUAGCAUGGCCAAGCUGAGGGAGAGACUCAAACAAAGGCAAAAGCUGUUCGAAUCUCAGCAAGGCUGGUUUGAGGGGUAGUAUAACAAAUCCCCCUGGUUUACCACUUUAGUCUCCUCCCUCAUGGGCCCCUUAAUACUCCUACUAUUAAUACUGAUGUUCGGACCCCGCAUCCUUAACCACUUGGUACAGUUCAUAAGAGAAAGACUCUCUGUCAUCCAGGCCUUGGUUCUAACCCAACAGUACCACCAACUAAGACAAUUUGAUGCAGAAAGGCCAGAUACAAUUGAAUGAAAGGUUUCAUUCGAUGCCAAAAGAAAAUGGGGGAAUGAGAGACCCCUGGUCUAGCUUACUAAAACACCCCCACCCUACCUUCAACUUUGUAAACGCCUCACUCGCAGAGCCUGUACUCCCAAUAGUUAACAAACAGGAUUUCUGCGGUUAGACAUCUGGACACCGGGGGAGCUGUACAGGCUGCUACAUAGAUAACCGCUUUCCUCUCGCUUCUGUAAUCUUGCUUACGCGCCCAACCCUAACCGAAAGGUCCCUAGCCGCUUCGCAGCCCGGGCUCCAAGUUGCAUCAGCCAAAAGAAACUUCAUUUCCCAAGCUUCCCCGGGACGAAACUACCCACAACCCUAACCAUCACCGAGCAGAGAGCCUACCACCAGCCUGUAUGCAAAUAAGACUCAAAAUAGCAUAAAAGACCUGUGACCCCGUUUAUCGGGGCUCUCCCGCUUUCCAACACUGGGGAGCCCUGGUGCACCAGUAAAGACUCUCUGCCGA